UGCGUACGUGCAUGUGCAUGUGUGCUUGUAUAUUUAUGUGUAUGUAUGCCCAAAGCUGCCCCUCCAAAAGCCAGGAACGCCUUCAAGAUAUGGCAUCUCCUGGGGGCUGUCGCUGAUUGCCUUUCAUUGUACUCGUGGACUUGCAUCUGCCAGGGAGGCUGUGUUGGCUGAUGGCUGUGGGCUUGGGCUCCGGAGCUGGACCGUCUGGAAUCAGAUAUCUGCUCGCAACUUACUUGCGCUAUGACCUUGGGAAAAUGGCUUACCACUCACUUCCUCACUUUCCCCAGCUGUGAAGGGACGGUGUUAUAGUACCUCCCCAGUAGGGUUAUUGUGAGGACUGAUUGAAUGAAUCAAUGAAUAAUUAUAAAGUAUUGGGAACAGUGUGUGGCACAUUUCUCAAAAAUAAGCUGACAGUAUUAUUUUUACAGAGAAAUACCAGCAGUGGAUGUGGGCAGCUAGGACUAGAGAUAAAGCUCAGAGCAGACAUUCAGCCUAACGUCCAAGGGAAGGGUCAUGUAUUCUCUUGGGCGGCACCAUCAUGAAAUGUGACCGGGUAGCAGAAAACAUCAACGUUGAUGGAACUUCCCGAGGGCAAGGGAAGAAGGAGGAAGAGAUGGUGGCUUUAUACCAAGAUGACAUUGACAAUGGCUGAAGAAGUUCCCUUGGCUGCUUGUGGAUGGAGUUGGUUAUUUAAGGUUGUUUUAUUUCAAGUGUCAGCUAAUGUAGUUGAAACAGGGGAUUAACUAUAAACACUGGGGAUGACUUAUGGAACCCAAGGGCAGGAAUCCAGCUGGGUCUCAGGGAAUGUGGGGGGCUCUUUCUCCAUCUCCUGUCUGCUCCUUUCUCUGCUUUUGCUCAGGAUGCUCGCUCUGCACAAGGACCUCUUCUGCUUCUCAGCUGACUUGUUGAGUGAAGGUGGCCACCAGAGUCUCCUGAGGCCAUGUGUUACUCUUCUGCCCUUCGGUGAGUCUCACAUCCUCACUGUCAGUCACAGGCACUCACCGUCAGCCAGAGUGAGAGUCACCUGAGAGCAACAUGGCGGCGAGGAACCAGACUCAGGUCUUGGAGGAGAUGUGCUGGGCAGAAAGGACCACCUCCUGGGAGCACCAUUCACAUGGUUCACGAUGGCCACCUGAAUGGUGACACCCACUUCUUUAUUGAGAGUAGCAGAUGUACUUUUCGGCUGUGGAAGCUCUCUGAUCUCUAACACUGGGUUCCUGUGAGUGUGUCUGCCAUCCAUCCUUCCUAUAACUUGUGGUAAAAUGAAUUGAGUCUCUCGCUUCUUGUUUGGGUGCCUUACUGUGUCUUAGACGUUAUCCCAUCUGAUAUUAGUGUCCUCAGCUUAUUGUCACUUGGGGACUUCAAUUUUCAAGUGAAUGAGAUUUCUGGCAGAAUGGCUCCAUCAUUCAUGAUCACUAUGGCAACAGUGGGACUGCUUUUCAUGGGUGGUUGCAGCUUCUAUAAACAGCCAAAAUGGUCCCCCACGUUUUUGGAAUAUGUAUCAAAAGCAUAGAGUAAGAAACUUUUUCUGAUCAUCUCUUUUUUUUUAACAUCUUUAUUGGAGUAUAAUUGCUUUACAAUGGUGUGUUAGUUUCAAGAAACUUUAAAAAUAUAUUUUCAUCACCUCUCCUUCAGAUGGGGAUCAUGUGAUACGGCCAGGUGCUCGUAUAAAUUAUGGUUAACAUCUGCAUUCCUUUUCCAGAUAUAGCAUAAGUCUCUUGCCAAAUGUGCUAAGAACAUAUGGGUUGUAAUGAUAAAGUUUUAAUGCUUCGAUUAAGUAUUUAAUUUUCUUACUAGGGUUACAGAAGAAAAAUUUAGCAGCAUUUAAAAAUCACCGAUAGAUCCUUAAAGAUUUAGAAAUUUCGCUUUUUCGAUGAGCUAGGAAUCAGCAGUAAGGUGAUGGUGUGACUAACUUUCCCACUCACAUCCUUUUCUAUGUUUUGUAUUCCCUUCCCUGUCACACCGACAACCAGCACAGUGACCGCUGGACAAUAAGUUAACCAGCUUCUGUCAAUACCUAUCGGUAUUUUGCCUCUAAAUCUCCAUCCUCUUGCUCAUCCUCAUUGGUUACCCUCAGGGAUUCACCCGGAUGAAAAAGGAGAGACAAGGUCUGAGGUCGAAGCAGCAAAAGCAGCAAGGAUAUGAAGCUUGAAGGAAAGAAGAUCAACUCCUACCCGUAUUUAAAAAAUCAAGUCAGUGCAAAGAAACAGGACAUGGAGUGUGCCGAUGGGGACUUACAUGGACGAAUGAAUUGGUGAGGCCCCCCUGAGGUGGGCUGACACCUCAUCACCCCCUGACUCGAGCCGGCAGAAGGAUGAGAGAAAAUCCCCCGCGUGACUGAGUCUCCAAGGUUUAUCAACAAGGUGUCCUGCAGUAAGUUUGCCUGCAUCUGGAGAAAACCUGGGCUCCAGGAGGAGUGGAUGCGUCUUCGGGAACACUGACGGUUGUGCAAAGUGGUCCUGCUGGGUCACUGUCAUCAUUUCCUGAACCUCACACUGGGGCCGAGACGCCUGGCAGUCUCAUCAGUCACCAGGUUCCAUGGUCCACAGGUUCAUGAGGAGUUCGGAGCACGCAGCCACCGGCUGCGGUUUACAGCCGCAACUCGAGGGAACCCGGAACUUUAUGUGUCAUUGUGGAAGAAGGUUUUGGUCACUACUAAUAAAGCUGCUAUAAACAAUUAUGUACAGGUGUGUGUGGACCUAAGUUUCCGUUUCUCUGGGAUAGAUAACCAGGAGUGCAACUGACAGGUUGUCUGGAGAAUGACUUCAUAUGAUACAUUAUCCAGAAGGCUUUGAGUUCAUGAACUGACUGUAAGACAAAUGAUUAAUCUACUCUCUAACUAUCUGGGCUUUCAUCUUCACGUCCACCCAGUCGAUUAACUCACAUGCUAUCAGUUCAGAAGGACACGUGAUAGCAAGAAGAAAGAAGUGUUUUAUAAUCAAAUCAGAUAUUUCACUGGCAAAGGAAAGUGUCCUAAGGAGGGUGUCUGUAUGUACAGACAAGGUGUAUUUGAAGACCUGAUAAACUGUGAUGGACAAAGUGAUGGGGAAAGACAAAACUACUCAGUAAGUGAAAUAUCGGAGAGACGAUCUUUUGAACCAUUUCAUCAAGCAAUUGCAAAAUUUCAGAGAUAGCCAAGUUUGAGCUGUUAAAAGCACACAUUGAAUCUUGUAGUUUUCCCUAAAUUACCUUAUAUCACCUGUUUGUGAAGUUGACUUUAUGAAUUAUUUGAUUUUGAUGGAAGGACGUUCAUCUACACAUCAUCAAAGACCUCUAUCUUAAAUUGGAAGAAGAUAAGAAAAAUAAGUUACUGAUGCCAUGAAAAUUCUCCCCAGAUCUGUGCAGUGUGUUCUAGAGAUGAAAUCAGUAGCGAGGACGCUGCACUGUGGCAGAAUUGUCACAGCACAGAGCGGACAACUCAUUAGCAGGUGAAGACAUCCUUGGACGUCUCUCCGGGGUCUCGGGAGGGGAAAGCUGCCCUGAGUCUCUGUGUCUGGGCUGAACAUUCCCGCUUGGUUACACAGAUCCUGCAGCUGCACCAGAGCUACUGAUUGAAAGGAGACUGUCAAUACCAAAUGAAGAGGCUGAGUUGAUCCUUGUGGAACCAGAGGAUGCUAGAAGAUUUUGUGCUUUGUGCUUCACAUAGAAAUCGGAAACUGAAAAAUCCCAUUGGCUCGCUUGGACAGGAGAACAGCAUAGCUUCCGUGCAGGAACGUGUGUCAAUCUCACAAUCCGUUAGCCCAGGUGACGUCCACUCCUUCUGCCUCAGGGACCAGCCAUGCCGGUGGGUCACCCUCAUCACGCUGCAGCCCCUCCUGAGUUUCCUGCGGGCCUUGCCCCAGGCUGCCUGUCUGGCCCGGUCAGGACGGGGCGGGGGACUGUGAGAUCUGGAAAGCAGACGCGUGCCGUGAGGUAAGGAGGAAUCCCUGGGGGUCUGUGCCGCCGAGUACUCUCAGCACCCCUGUGAUGGUUUCAGCUAGAGCUGUGAUGUUCGACCUGGUCCCGGGUCAGCAGGGUCGGCCUCACUUGGGGGCUGUCAGGGGAGCAACCCCGGGCCUGCUGCUCAGGAGCUCUGGGGUGGACCUGGAGCCCCGUGUUUUACCCUCCAGGUCAUUCCGGGGCGGCUCUCUCAGGGAGGAGAGUGUGACUAUGCGCAUCUUGUGGCUUAGGGCCCCCCCCCUGGAUUGCACGCAUUCCAUCUGUGCUUGUGGAGUUACCGAGUCCCUCUAGGUACACAGGGCACGACAGAGAACAGAGUCCCUGUGUUCCUGGAGCCUGUAUUCUAGGUGGGAGGUGGGGAGAAGGGGGACCAGACACGAACAUGUAAAACAGAACAGUUUCACAGUAACGCCAGUGCUCUGAAUGAAA